GACGAACGCUGGCGGCGUGCCUAAUACAUGCAAGUAGAACGCACGGAGGAGAAGUUUCUUCCUUUGAUGUUUGCCGCGGACGGGAGAGUCACGUAUGGAUACUCCCCCUUUGAGACUGGGAUAACUUCGGGACACCGGCGCUUAUCCCAGAUUAUAUUAUGAUCCGUAACGUUUAAUAAAAAAAUACAAUCUCAUUGCUACCAAUUGAUGCUUCCUCGCAGCAUCUGCUAGUUGGUAUGGUAACGGCUUACCAAGGCAACGCUGCAUCGCCGACCUGAGAGGGGGAUCGGCCACACUGGAACUGAGACACGGUCCAGACUCCUACGGGAGGCAGCAGUAGGGAAUCUUCCGCAAUGGGCGAAAGCCUGACGGGGCAACGCCGCGUGAGUGAUGAGGGUCUUCGGAUCGUAAAACUCUGUUAUUAGGGAAGAACAUAUGUGUAAGUAACUGUGCACAUCGUGACGGUACCUAAUCAGAAAGCCACGGCUAACUACGUG
rnacentral:rRNA from 1 species